rnacentral:lncRNA from 1 species
CCCAGGCCGCGAGAACUGGAGCCCGUAAAAGAUCCAAAGGCCACGCUGAUUGGCUGAAGCGCGUCCAAUCCCUAGGCUCCGCCAAGAGAAGCACAGUCCUGCCCUGAUCGAUGAGGAGCCCUGGCUAGAGGCCUCCGCUGUGGUCACCUUCCCAGCACUGUGUCGCGUGUGUUCUCUCAGAGGGACACUGGUUUCCCUCUGUCUUUAACCCAUCUACCUGAGAAUUACUCCUGAUAUAUCCAAAGUCCAAGUCCAAGAGGUCAAGGCCCAGAAAGAGGGUGCUGAGUGGGACAAUGACAAACAGGAAGGAACGUCAUAAGGAAUCCUUAGGUAUCUGCUCUUUCUUCCUAGUAAGUACUUUAGCCUCUGCCUGGCCCUGCAGCUGAUUGGUACAAGUGCCACGUAAUUCCAGGGUGUGUUCUUUGUUGGAAUACACAGAAGUCACUAAAGCCUGGCACUCAGCUCCCUCUCUAUCCCUGUGAAACAUCCCUGUUCCCGCUCACCCUACUAACAGGGUAACCACUCCAACUGUACCCCCCUUCUUCCCCCACUCAUUUCCUGAGUUACUCUAAAUCCAGGAUUUCCUAAUGGGGAAAGAUGUGGAAAUAGCUGUUGUCUGGGAUCCAAACAGACAUUAAUCCUGUCUGUAAAGCAUCAAGACUGGCUACUGUGGUGUGAAGGUAUUCAACAGCCUAUUAAAUCACAUUGAAGAAAGUAGAGAAGUUGUGACAUUCUCC